CUUUAUCUUCAUGAUUGUUAUAUCACUACUUCAAGGUAUGUCAACUUACACUAUGAAAUAUAUACGUUGAUGUAUAUUAUCAAGAUAUGCUCACUGAUUGACCUCUAAAUGAUUUCAGGCUCUCACUUGGAGAGAUCUCAUCACCUCCACACAACUUCUUUUUCGGAUGUUCACCAUUCUAUCUAUACUUUAAUACAUUUCAUCUUUUCUAUUUUUUUUAAAGUUAGAAUUUACAUGAAAUUACUCGCAUACUUUUGCUAACACACAUGUUUUACAUCUAUCACAAGAUUUCCAAUCUCAAAGUUAGUAAGACUCGGAAAUUUUUCCGCGCGUAGCGCAGACGAAGCAUCUAGUAAGAAAUAAAAGCAGACUAUCUAACAAUACUAAAAGUUGUUAAUACUCAAUAUCUAGACUAUCCACGUCGUUCUAAAAAAUCAUCCAAUUAAAACAUAAGUAAUUGACACAUCCUCUUUUCUUCCAUCGACGACCCCUUUCCCAAACAGUUAUUGUUUCCGCUUCGUCUUCCCUGCUGAACCCCUCUUUAAGUAUACUCCAGUUCCAGUCAAUCGGUUCCUCUUUCUGACCUUAUCUUUUCAACAAAACGUAUGUUGAACUUUUUCCUGCUCUAGAGUCACCUUUUUAAACUUCAGGAUUCUGAAACUCUAAAUCAAGCUUCUUAAGGUACGUUAUUAAAUCGACUUUUGCAUUCACGAACGCAAACAUUUGAGUGGUUCUCUCAGAAAUCAUGUUUCUUUGUAUUGUAGAUUGGAAUUGUGUUCUUUUUUUGUUGAAUGAGAAAAAUAGGAGAAAAUGAUUAUAAGCGGUUCAGUUAAGCAGAACCAAGAAAAUUACAAAGAGAUUGAGGCAAAGAUCUAUUUGAUGUUCUCUCUAAUGAUGUCAUGGUAAAAAACUCUGAUUCAAAAGUACUAAGUUUAAAGACUUCUUUUCUUUUAACACUAAAGACUUUUGUUUUGUGUUCCAGCAGAGACAGACGCAAGACUUGCAAAAAAGAUCUUGAAUGCUAAAAGGAAAAGCACAGAGGAACCGAAGGCUUUCGUAGAGAUCUCUUGCACAACUUCUCCCCAUCAUUUAGUUUAUUUGAGGAAAGCUUAUUGUUUACUCCUUGAUUCAUCCUUUGCAGAACACACUGCUUCAUCUAUUCCUUAUCCUCCUGCAAAUUUUUUUUUUUUUUUGGUAUCAUACAUUUUAACUUACAAAAUUGCUUCCUUUUUUUUCUUUUAGUAGGCUCAGAAGAAGCACAAGUAUGAAUGUGUGAUGGUGUGAAACCAAAGAGACAAUGAAAAGAAAGGAGGAACAUAGAAAGAAGAUAUGGAGAAGUCAAAGAAAGGACUUUUGAUAAAAGUGUGUGCAGUCUAUAGUGCAUGGAGUUAUGUCAGAUGAUGUUGCUCGGUUACUGAAUCGUGCUCGCCACUACUCAGCUGUGCGCUUACAUGGCUUAUAUCAACCGGGAAUAUAAGAAAAGGUAGUAUGUUUUAUUUCUUCUUCGAUGUGCAUGUCUCUCCACCAUUAUUAGUUGCUAGAUACUCAUAAGCAAGAAGAACGUAUAUUGAGUUUGUGAGCUUUGUUAGGCGAUACUGAUCCUUCCCGAAAAGUAUAUGGAGAAUGAGAUGGUAGUUGAAGCUUUUAAGAGACUUUAGAGGUGAUGUUAGAGAUGGGUGUAAGUCUUGAUAUUUAUUUGUCCAUUUUUCCAUUCACAAGAGAAUAGUUGAGUUUGCGAGUUGAUUCUUUUGAUGAUUGCACUCAGAAGGACUUAAACAAGCCAGUGAUUUUUGCAGAGAAAGAGUUGGAGGCAGGAGAGGAAGACUAGGAAGUGAUGCAGCUCCUUCCGUGAGACACCUACCAAAGUAAGUGUUAUUGACUUAGCUCACUUUCGUAUUAACGUGGUGUCGGUAUUUAUCAUCUAAUUAUAUCAUACUUAGUGGCAGCCAAAACCAACAUGGAGGUGUUGUUAGAGAUGGUUGAGGCAGAGGCCUGUCUGGUGGUGGCAAAGACAAUAAAGAUGGCCUAGCUAAAGAUUGUCGUGCUUAGAAGUGGGACUGAAAAAAUGGAAUAAAAAGCUCUAAAAUGGUAUUAGGAAGAACGUGUAGAUAACAAUAGCUUAAGGUUUUUUACAUUUGUGGAUCAUCAGGUGAACACGCUCCUGUCUCUAGGAUCAGCCGAAGCUAGAUCCUUUGUUGCUCAGACUUAAGCAGUGAUUGUUUUCGUAAUUCAGUGGCUACAGGAGGUGGCUGAAGGAACAACAGAGGUUGUUUAAUUAAGUGUGGCGACUCAAGAGCACCUGACCGAUAGUGAGCUUAGGAUGUUUGUUGAUGUGCAUGGAGAGGAAUACAGUUCAAAGCAACGUCAGAGAAAUAACGUUUACCCGCAUUUGAGUCUUCUCUCCAUUUUUUUCUUUUGCAAAGAUUUAUGUAUGAAAAAAUGGAGAAAGUAAAAUGAUUCAGAAGAGAAUCUACAGUUCUAUUCAGAGAAAGGUCGAAGAUCAUGGCUGGUUUGGUGAAUAUUGAGUCUUCAGCUAAGUUCUACUAAAAACAAUUUUUUUCACAACUUACAACGAUAGUUAUCCUGAUAUUUAGUCCAGGCUGGAUUACAAAUCUUUCAUUUAGUUUCCAAUAGCUAAUCGCACAUUUAAUUUUCAGAGGUCUGUGCUAAUGUUGAUGUGUGUGUGUGUGUUGAUCAUUUGGACAGGACCAAACUACUUUGAGAUUGAUUUGGAUAUGCACAAGUUCAAUUACAUAUACAGGAAAAGACGAGAAUCUUUCAGGGAUAGGAUCAAGAAUGAGAUCCUACAUCUUGGUUCAACUAUUCAGAAACUUGAAUAAUCUCUCAACAUUUUGGUUUUAUGUCUUUUGUUUGUAGAGUGUAGUUGAAGUAAAAAAUUGUUCUUUCUAACACAAUCUCUAUCACCAAAAAAACAUUAUAGCAAAUGAUGUGCUGUGUUAGGGUGAACAAGAGUCAUUUCGUGAAUUACCAAUAUGUUACACUUAUAAUUAACAAACAAUGACGAAGAUUCCAUAUCUUAUUCACUACAAAGAUCACAUAAAGAAAAAAUAAUUGAUCAUCUAAUCACCCGGGGAGAAAAGAGACAAAGGCAAAACAGAGAACAUGUUCAUGUAUUUGUAUUAAAGAGGCGAAAGGAAAAAAAAAACAAUGUCCUUUUUGUAAACCAAUGUAACCAGAAUUGCUCCGAAAAUUCAUGUGCUCUACAAAUUUCGUUAAGCAGUGACAAUGAAAGACGAGUGAAAGCAAGAAAAUUUUAGGUGAAUAAUUGUUUCUAUAUAUUUUUGAAACUAUCUAUGAAAAAUUAUAUUGUCAUAUGGCAUUUGAUAUCGCAACUAAAAAUGUUUUUAUUUAUUCUCAAAUCUAACACUACAUCAUUUUGUAAAGAUUCCAAGCAUUUUGCUAAGUACAUUCUUUAGACGAAGAGACCCUCUAUCUUGGACAACAUCUCCUAUGUUCUGGGACACAACCAAACCGCAAACAAUACUGAGUAGCACAUGUUGACUUGAAGAGUGAAAUGGAGCCAAAGGAGAAGUAUGGAGGAGUUUGGGUCUGGUGCAAAGAUAGGGACAAGAUCUUAAGAGAUUGUCUAUCAAGGCUUCAUGAGGAUUUAGAGAAGUCUAGAAGAGUCAUGAAGGCUGUACAAAGAUAGUGUUUAAGUCCAGGAGGGACUUAGACACCAUUUGGAGAUAGUUGGGUGAUGGUGCAAAGAUAGGGCGUCCCGAGGUUCAGACGGUACGAACGGACCGUGCAAAGUUAGGGCGACCCAAAGCAUGAUCUGGUUCAUCUAUUGAAGAAGCUUGGUGAACUUGUGCAAAUAUAGGGCGAGGUACGGACAUCAGGUCCGUACCAUCAACCGUACGGAUGAGCAGGCCGUAUCACUUUACCCGGAUUGACCCGAAAUGGAAAUGUGCAAACUUAGGGAGCAAGGAGGAGUUAUCUGAGCUUGUGACUGUUGGGAAUGGAUAAGAGAGGAGCUGGGCGUGACCUGUUGCUAGCUGGAAAGUAGCUGGUCAAAAGGUAAAGCACCUUUUGACCAUGGAACACCACAAGGCUCCAUCUUAUCCAUCCAUUUCAAACAUGGGCAAUCUGAACCAUCCAAGCUUCUCUUACCAGAUUCCUUUAGCCAAUCAGAGACCAUCACCAAGAUUGUGAAGACCAGAUCCAAGACUACAUCCUAGCCAUUCAUUCUCAAGUCAUUUUUAGCCAUUAGAUUAAGGGUUUAUGAUUGCAAACUUGUAAAGCCUAUAUAAAGGCUAUGUGUGGACGUUUUUGUAACCCUUAAGUGAGUAAGGGGGUUUCCCUUCUCCUUCUCUAAUCUGAAACACUUUCUCUUA